ACUGUAUGUUUAAUUUGCUCAAAUCCCUUGUCAGAAAGUGCCCACAGUGCGGAGACUUUCUGGACUUUAGUGAGUCCAGAAUUAACUUGUGACGUGUUAGAUUUAUUUACAUGUAAUGUGUCAA